rfam:Brachypodium distachyon strain Bd21 chromosome 1, whole genome shotgun sequence.
CUGUUACUUCCUCCGUUCCAUAAUUCUUGUCUCAAAUUUGUCAAAAAAUGAAUGUAUCUAUUCCUAAAAAAUGUCUAGAUACAUGUAAUAUUUCGACAAGAAUUAUGGAAUGGAGGGAGUAUCUU